UCCCUAGUAGCUCAGAUAGUAAAGCAUCUGCUUGCACUGCAGGAUACCUGGGUUCAAUCCCUGGUUGGGAAG
rnacentral:tRNA from 1 species